UACAUGGGGUGCAAACGUUGCUCGGAAUUAUUGGGCGUAAAGCGCGCGUAGGCGGUUACUCAAGUCGGAUGUGAAAGCCCUCGGCUUAACUGAGGAAGUGCACCCGAAACUGAGUAGCUAGAGUACUAAAGAGGGUCGCGGAAUUCCUGGUGUAGGGGUGAAAUCCGUAGAUAUCAGGAGGAACAUCAGUGGCGAAGGCGGCCAUCUGGCUCGCACCUGACGCUGAGACGCGAAAGCGUGGGGAGCAAACAGG
rnacentral:rRNA from 1 species